CUCUGCUCAAUGAUUUUUUAAAUUGCUGUGGUAUUUUGACUAUACGAAGGUAUUGAAAUAAGGCUUUAAUUGAGUGCUAAGAGAAUGAUUUAACAAAAAUUGACUUUCUUUUUAUUUAAAAUAAAAAUUGAUUUAAUAAUGAAAAAGUUUUUAUGAAUUUUUGGGACAAGCAGACCCUAUGAAUUUUAUUUAAAAUUUUAUUUACUAUUAAUAAAGGAAAAUAAAAUAUUCUUUUAAAUUGGUUGGGGUGACUUUUAAAGAAUGAAUAUCUUUAAAAAGUAAAUAAUUUGAACCUUAAUUUAAGGUUAUUUGUAAAAAAUACUCUAGGGAUAACAGCGUAAUUAUUUUGGAUAGUUCAUAUAGAUGAAAUAGUUUGCGACCUCGAUGCUGGAUUAAGAUAUUUAUAUGAUGUAGAAGUCAUAUUAAAAAGUGCUCAAACUU
rnacentral:rRNA from 1 species